GGAAUAUUGCACAAUGGGGGAAACCCUGAUGCAGCGACGCCGCGUGAGUGAAGAAGUAUUUCGGUACGUAAAGCUCUAUCAGCAGGGAAGAAAAUGACGGUACCUGACUAAGAAGCCCCGGCUAACUACGUGCCAGCAGCCGCGGUAAUACGUAGGGGGCAAGCGUUAUCCGGAUUUACUGGGUGUAAAGGGAGCGUAGACGGCAGCGCAAGUCUGGAGUGAAAUCCCAUGGCUUAACCAUGGAACUGCUUUGGAAACUGUGCAGCUAGAGUGCAGGAGAGGUAAGCGGAAUUCCUAGUGUAGCGGUGAAAUGCGUAGAUAUUAGGAGGAACAUCGGUGGCGAAGGCGGCUUACUGGACUAUAACAGACACUGAGGCUCGAAAGCGUGGGGAGCGAACA
rnacentral:rRNA from 1 species